rnacentral:tRNA from 1 species
GCCGGGGUAGCUCAGUGGUAGAGCAGCGCUUUUGUAAAGCGAAGGUCGGGGGUUCAAAUCCCUCUGCUGGCU